rnacentral:rRNA from 1 species
UACGUAGGGCGCAAGCGUUGUCCGGAAUUAUUGGGCGUAAGAGCUCGUAGGCGGUUUGUCGCGUCUGCUGUGAAAACCUAAGGCUCAACCUUGGGCUUGCAGUGGGUACGGGCAGACUAGAGUGCGGUAGGGGUGACUGGAAUUCCUGGUGUAGCGGUGGAAUGCGCAGAUAUCAGGAGGAACACCGAUGGCGAAGGCGGGUCUCUGGGCCGAUACUGACGCUGGAGGAAGCGGAAAGCAUGGGGAGCAAACAGG